GCCUUUGUGGAUCAUGGGGAUCACAUCGUGUAAAUUUGCUUUCCAGAUAUUCGAUUAUUGAGCAAGCGGAGGUUCGAUUCCUCCCGGAGGCA